GCAGACGGCUGCGAGGCGCUGGGCACAGGUGUCCUGAUGGCAAAUUUCAAGGGCCACGCACUUCCAGGGAGUUUCUUCCUGAUCAUUGGGCUGUGUUGGUCAGUGAAGUACCCUCUGAAGUACUUUAACCACACGCGGAAGAACAGCCCACUACAUUACUAUCAGCGUCUCGAGAUCGUCGAAGCUGCAAUUAGGACUUUGUUUUCCGUCAUUGGUAAGAACAGGGGUCAUUUGGUCCAAGGAAUCUCCUCAUCAUACCCAGAACCUUUAAUUCAUUUUCUGAGCCCUGUGAAAUAGAUGUUUCCACUGGCAGAGAUAAUAGGGCAACAAUUUCCCGAUGGCCACUAGACUAUUUUAUCAUAACAUCCAUCGUGUACAGAGCUUUAUAAUACUAACGGUUGACAGCUCUCACAUCAUGGGACACUGUGAAAAACUAUCAAAUCAACAAGGACACAGGUAUGGAAAGUUGUAGGAGCAAAACACCCACUGUAUGAAAAAGAUAUGACACAAAUAAAAA
rnacentral:sRNA from 1 species